GAUGAAGAACGCAGCGAAAUGCGAUAAGUAAUGUGAAUUGCAGAAUUCAGUGAAUCAUCGAAUCUUUGAACGCACAUUGCGCCCCUUGGUAUUCCGAGGGGCAUGCCUGUUCGAGCGUCAUUAUAACCCCUCAAGCUCAGCUUGGUGUUGGGGCCUGCUGCACUGGCAGCCCUUAAAAUCAGUGGCGGCGCCAUCUGGCUCUAAGCGUAGUAAUUCUUCUCGCUAUGGAGUCCUGGUGGAUGCUUGCCAUCAACCCCCAAUUUUUCUAUGGUUGACCUCGGAUCAGGUAGGGAUACCCGCCGAACUUAAGCAUAUCAAUAAGCGGAGGA
rnacentral:misc_RNA from 1 species